CAGCCGCCACGGUAAAACGGAGGGGGCUAGCGUUGUUCGGAAUUACUGGGCGUAAAGCGCACGUAGGCGGCUUGGUAAGUUAGAGGUGAAAGCCCGGAGCUCAACUCCGGAAUUGCCUUUAAGACUGCCGAGCUAGCAGGUGAGAGAGGUAAGUGGAAUUCCGAGUGUAGAGGUGAAAUUCGUAGAUAUUCGGAAGAACACCAGUGGCGAAGGCGGCUUACUGGCUCAUACUGGACGCUGAGGUGCGAAAGCGUGGGGAGCAAACAGGAUUAGAUACCCCUGUAGUCCCUGUCUCUUAUAC
rnacentral:rRNA from 1 species